rnacentral:sRNA from 1 species
GAUAUUUAUGUACGCAGCCAACAUCCUUUCCUUCACAUAAUGACUAUCAGAUAUCAGGAAGCCUGGGUAGAAUUGAAGUGCUCUGCCCCUUGCAGCUCUCACAACAACGGCUCAGUACAACUCUACAGUAUGAAAGCAGUUUCAAUCUCCUUGUGUGAGGAACGCUAUACUGGCAAUUUUACUGGUAAUUCUUACAGAAACUUGUUAAGCAUUGUGUGAGUGUAUGGACUAAUUGGAACUAAGAAGGAUGAAAUAAAGUUUACUGCAAUUCCUCUA